CCUCCGAGCUGUGGGCGGAAAGAGGGAGGCGCCAUAGGCCUUUAAGGUAGCCUUUAAGGUCCCUAGGAAAACCGAAGCACCCUGAGCCUCUGAGCCGAGGGAACGCCAGGCUCGUUUCGGCGCCCCCCCCCCCAUUUGACGCCGCCACUGCUGUAGAUGAGUCCCGCGAGGGGCGCCCCCGAAGCAGCAGGAGGGCGUCGCCUGCUUCCCACCCGCAGGAGGGACUACACGACACGCAGAGGACGCUCCGGGCCGCCUCCCGGGCUGCCCUGGUUCCGCCAAGCCCAGGUCCCGGCUCCCUUCACUAGUGCUCGGUCACCAUCAUGACGCCAGGCCCGGGCUCUUUUUUGCUCCUUGGGCCUCGGCCUCCUCUUUCCUUCGGCCCCAGCUCGCCUCUCUCCUCGGGUCCGGCUCCCUUCGCUCGUGCCCGGCAGCCCUCGCUACGUCAGGCCCAGGCCUCCUCCUCUCCUCGGGCCCCGGCCUCCCUCGCUCCUCGGGCCCCGGCCUCCCCGGUCCCUCCCGGCCCUGACCGUUGAGGCAGGCGGCGGGCUGCGGGCAGAGCGGGCUGUUGCAGGGCACGCUAGGCCGCAGGUAGUGCUCGCGAACGAUCCGCAGCGUCCGGCCCUGGAAAGUCCUCAGCAGCAGCACCUUCUCCCGCUUCUGUAACAUGCUGGUGCCUUCGCCCGGCACGGCGGCCGGGAAGCGGCGGGCGGCAGCGGGAGGCGAGGCCGAGGCUUGGGGCCCGCCCCUCGGGCCCGGUCGGGCCGGCAGCGGCAAGAGCGGUCCCGGCACCGGGAACGACCUCUCUGGGCCUGAGGGUCUGCCUGGCCCAGCCCAGCCUGCGCCUAGAUUCCUCUGUAAGCCUUAGUUGCCCCUGAGCCGGGAAGAGUGUAUAUAAACUGUUGACCCCCAAGGACCAACGGGCAUGACGGUAGGGUGUGAUAGCUGGUCUAAAAGUCCCGAGUGAAAUGGUUAUUUUACUUUGUUUCUACCCACAGGCCCGUGUGGGAAGGGCUGCCAUAUUAACGGGUAAUAACUAGAGUUUUCUUGUCCUUGCUUUUGCAGUAACUAAAAUAAUCAAAAGGCUCAGCAAAGCUGGUAACCCUGCUGGCCAAACAUGUUUUCCCCUUCAAAAUGUGCUUAUUUUAAAUUUUAAUACAGGCAAACAUUCAAACACUACAGAUAAAAUAAAAGCCAGUCCUUCUGGGGUAAA